rnacentral:lncRNA from 1 species
AUUGUUUUAGUUGGUGUACAUUUUUAUAAUAUGUUAAAUUAAUAAUAAUAAUAUCUGAAACAAAUAUAAGAUGUGAAUAACAUAAUUAAUAUUUAACAUCUUUAAACCUUUAGAAUGCUGGAAAAUUGAAAAAUAGCUAAAACUGAGAACUCAUGGUUUUUAUCGUUAAUUUUUUCCCACCCAUCAUGCAUAUUUUUUUACAAUAUUAUCUCAGAAGCAGCUUAUAUUAUGAGGUCAGCAAGGACCUAAGGCUGGCCCUGCCUAUAAAACUUGAACAUGAUAGGCUGGAUAUUUUUGAAUAUGACAAAAAAAAAAAUCAUAUCUUAUUGAGAUCGAAAUCACAAAUCAAGAUUUGUUAGCAACAGUUGGAAAUGAAAAAUGAAGAAAUUGCUUAAUGGUAAAUGAACUGAGCAUGAUGUGUAAGUGCCAAGUAAAGAUAAUUCCCUAUGUGAUGACUUAGAAGUAUUGUCCGUCCAUGAAAGCCGCGCCUAGCUAAGAUGG